GCUCACAGAAUCACCAGGAAGAGGAACACGCAGACCUUCCAAAGGCACAGGAACAAAAGGAAGAACCCCAGGCAAAAUCACUCCCCAGAACUACUGCUGAGGCCCUGCUGGCUCCUGGGUGUUGCCCAAAGAUACCUACCGGGAUCACUUGAUGGUCCAUGGCACUAUGGACUCUGGAGGGAGACCUUUGUAAUAAAUCCCAGCUCUGCAGCUGACUAGCUGUGCGACCUGGGGUAAGAAACAUUAUGUCUUCAUGCCUUGGUUUGUUCAUCUGUAGAAGGGGUGUAACAACAAUGUUACCCUCAUAGGUAAGGAAUGAAUGAGAAGUGCAUGGAUGCCACUUGGCAGACGGUUAAGUGCUCAAUAGAUGGGAAGCAGUAGCAGCAGCGACA
rnacentral:lncRNA from 1 species